AUUACUGGAGAAGUUUCUCUGAUAGUGUAGAAUACCAGAAACCAUGAGGAGGAGCCAGAGCACCCUCUGCUCUGCGUGAAGCUGGUUCUAGACACUGCUUUUGCAACUGCCUUUUACCCUUGCAACUGCCUUUCUCUCUUCCCUUGGAAGUGGGAGAGGGAGAGGAUGCAGUCCGAGUGG
rnacentral:snoRNA from 1 species